GACGAACGCUGGCGGCGUGCCUAAUACAUGCAAGUCGAACGCACAGUUUAUACCGUAGCUUGCUACACCAUAGACUGUGAGUUGCGAACGGGUGAGUAACCCGUAGGUAACCUGCCUGGUAGCGGGGGAUAACUAUUGGAAACGAUAGCUAAUACCGCAUAAUAUUGAUUAUUGCAUGAUAAUUAAUUGAAAUGUGCAAUUGCACCACUACCAGAUGGACCUGCGUUGUAUUAGCUAGUAGGUGAGGUAACGGCUCACCUAGGCGACGAUACAUAGCCGACCUGAGAGGGUGAUCGGCCACACUGGGACUGAGACACGGCCCAGACUCCUACGGGAGGCAGCAGGAGGGAAUCUUCGGCAAUGGGCGAAAGUCUGACCGAGCAACGCCGCGUGAGUGAAGAAGGUUUUCGGAUCGUAAAGCUCUGUUGUAAGGGAAGAACGGGUGUGAGAGUGGAAAGUUCACACUGUGACGGUACCUUACCAGAAAGGGACGGCUAACUACGUG
rnacentral:rRNA from 1 species